AAGCAGAGUCGGUGGUCGAAGCAAGUUGUGAGAAAGCAGGAAGUGCUAUGAGAAGGAGAAUAGGUGGAAUGCUAAAGUGAAGUGUUCUUUUUCUAUGUAUCUUUUUUAAUUUCGUCCAUAUAUCUAUAUAUGCUAUAUAACUAUUUGUUAUAAUUAUACUAUGUAUUAUUAUGAAUAAUAAUUAAUAUAAGUUUAAAACAAAAUAAAACAAAUUCUAUUUUCUU
rnacentral:lncRNA from 1 species